UCUAAGGCUACGGUGCGGUGCUGCCGUGUAUAUUAUGGCCAGUUUGCAAGAUGUGAGGGAAACUUGUGCUUUUAAAAUACUACAAGGGUGCUGGAGACCUGACUAGGUUGUUGAGGGCACUAGUUGCUCUUGCAAAGGACCUGGUUCAAGUCCCAGUACCCACAUUGUGGCUCCCCAUCUGUAACUGCAGCUCCAGAGAAUCCAUGCCCUGCUCUGACCCCCCACCCAGCGCCGACAUGGUGCACAAACAUAAAAACUUGCAGACAAAACUUUGACACUAAAAAGACUUGCACAGUUGGACACAUCAAGACAGAGACAGAAGGAUCUUGAUUCGGUAAACCAGUCACAUCGGAGUCCUGGAAAUAACAAGGGUUGAGCACAGAAACCGGCUUUCCCAGACUGCGUUUGUCUGUCUUCUGUAGUGGGCGCCUGUAGUCUCCUCUACAACGUUAACACUAGGCGGCGCUCUGAACCCAGCUGCCCAGUCAUGGAAACCCUGGCUAAGAACAAGCAAGACACCUGUAAGGCCUCCCCACUUCCACAGAUGCUUACCUGUGUGAAGACUGGACUGCAGAGGCCUUAGCAGGCCUUGGAUCCACUCCUACACUCUCCACAGACUCUGCCUUCCAAGUUGCCUCCUGCCAACUACAAACCUGAACUCUUGGAGCCUCUGAUGCUGGCUGGGUUUGCCCCCAGGAGAUGGGAGACAGAAGGAUUGGGUGCAGAGAAAAGAGAGAAUUCCCUCCAGGCCUCCCUUCCUGUUCAGCCACAGCCAAGGUCAUCUCGGGCAGGCCACAGCUGUCACGUAGCACCACUGUGUCUUCCUAUGGAGAGCACUAACCCCCCCCUCCGCUGCUAGGGUCCUGGAGUGCCACCCUCCUUGAGGAGGCUCCCUAACACCGCCCACACAUCUAUACGCCAGCUCUCAUUAUCAAACUGUCCUCAUUUUCCCUAUUUGAGCAUGUCAUCUGAUUCCUUUUUUAAAAGUUUUUUGAAAUAAACUUUCAAGAUUUA